rnacentral:rRNA from 1 species
CCCUUAGAUGUCCUGGGCCGCACGCGCGUUACACUGAUGCAUUCAACGAGCUUAUAACCUUGGCCGAGAGGCCCGGGCAAUCUUGUUAACGUGCAUCGUGAUAGGGAUAGAUUAUUGAAAUUAUUAAUCUUGAACGAGGAAUUCCUAGUAAACGCAGAUCAUCAAUCUGCAUUGAUUACGUCCCUGCCCUUUGUACACACCGCCCGUCGCACCUACCGACUGGGUGGUCCGGUGAAGCCUCGGGAUUGUGGUUCUUGCCGCUUUAUUGUGGCGUGACCGCGAGAACUUGUCUAAACCUUAUCACCUAGAGGAAGGUGAAGUCGUAACA